CGGGGGGAGGGCAGGGGGCGGCGCGUGGGGAUGAGGGAAAGUGACAGCGAGCAUCUCCCUCCCGGCAGCUACCGGGCGGCGGGCGAGGGGCAGCGCCGCCCUCCCCGCGUCCCUCCCUCGCGGCCUCACCGCCGGGAUCCGCGGGGGAGGGAGAGAAAGUUGGGAGGGAAGCGGGGUAGGCCCAGCCGGUCCCCGAGCCCCGCUGAGGGAAGAGGGGAGCGCGGGGUGCGGCCGGGCGCUGUGUGAGAAAGGCGCUGCCCGCCACGCCCUGCCCACGGCCCCGCGUGCAUCACCGGCUGCGUGAGGCGGUGAACGGCUCCGAGCUUCUCCACAAAGUUCUGUGUUUGUAUGUUUUCACCGCACCUCUUGGAGAUGCCCGUGCGCGCAGCAGCAGGGGCUGAGGGAUUCCAGGCUGGCAGAAUCUUUACGGCUUUGGAACCAUUUAUCCUGUUUCAAACACUCUGUACAAACAGCUCUUGAUCCACCAUGAUUCAGUACAGCGUGGACUUGGCUUUACAGUUAAUGCAGUCAAGUUUCAGCCCUUAAAGUGCUGAGUAGAACAUAACUGCUGAUUAGAGAUGCUCAGAGCAGCACAGUGACUUCAUUUGUUCCCUGACUUAACAGGUUAUUCAUGAAUGAAACGCCUCCAGAAGCCCCUGCACCUCUUCAUGUGAGUUGGAACGUUGCGACACUGAUAGCAGCACAAUAACUCACUUUCCAGAGUUGUUGGUGG